CGCCAGUCAAGAACUUUGGUUAAGGCUGUGGGAGACGCUAAUAAAAAAUGACCAGGAAAUGCAUGUAAUUAAACGAGGGUUGGUGGCCGCCAGUCAAGAACUUUGGUUAAGGCUGUGGGAGAUCUUUUAAUUAAAGGAAAACUAACGAAAAAAUCUUAAAAAUUUUAAUUUUAAUGAAAAAAGACAAAUAAAUGUGUAAGUGAAUAGUACCAGGAAAGGUAAAAAUGUCAUUUUUCGUGAAAAGUAAAUAGCACCGAGAGUGUUUUAUUAAAACUCUUUUUAAUUAAACCAAGUGGCCUAAACAAUUAGUUAAAAAAAAUUCUAAACUCUCAACCAAUUUUAUUAUAACACUUGAUGUACUAGCUGUGUUCCCGUCACACACUCCCCUCACGUUUCUCUCUCUAUAGCUCAUUUGCACAUUUUUACCAUCUUGUCCUUAACUUUUUUUUAUUUUUUAUAUCUUAACCUAUAAUUAAAUGAAUAAUUUUGGUCAUUAUAAGAAUGUUUAACCAUGAGUUCUUCUGCCUUACGAAUAUAAAUACAAUGGUCAAGGCAAAUGCCUUUAUUUGAUUUUGAUUUUUAAUUUUCAUAUUUUGGUAUUAUUAAAAACCAGAUAAACAUUACUAAGCAAAGCCUGAAAACUAUAUAUAAUUACUGAAAUGUUUAUCAAACUCUAGUUAAGAGUCACCAAACUCUACUAAAAAAUUAAUGACCUCAUAUAUUGUCACUUACGUGCCCCUUUUGUUGAAGUUGAUAAAUUUAAUGAAAUGCUCAUUUGACAACCAUUCUAGUUUUUAUUAUUAUUAUUUUUUUUUUAACUAAAAGCUAGUUUAGUAAUUGCCUUCAGUUUCAAAUAUAUGAUGCAUGAAAAUCAAAAUCAAGCCAAAUUAUGAAACUAAAAAAAAGUAGCUUUUAGUUUUUUAUUUUCAAUUUUUAUACCAUACAAGUUUUCAAUUUUCACUUUUUUUUUUGGAAAAUCUUGACGUACGAUAAAAUUUUAUUGAUUUGAAAAAAAAAUUACACCUAAUUAGGUAGACAUAAACCUUACCCCUUAUAAAGCAAGAAAACCAAAAUACAAAAAAUGAGGAGGAAAUAAACAUUACCUUCUUGAAAAAGAAAGUACAAGAAAAGAAAGGGAGCAUAAAUCUUAUCCCUGAUAAAAAGAAAAUACAAUAAAAGGAGUGGAGAUCUAUGACCAAACCCCUCUAAAAUAAAAGCUAUAAGGUAAGAACUUGCAUGAUAAACUGCAAAACAAAAAGUAAAAUCCAAAAGGAUUAGGUAAAAAAGAAAAUCAUACAUAAAAAAGGGAGAUAAACAUGUAAGUCGGCAUGCCAAACAAGUAAAGAUGAAAGAAGCUCUAAAAUGGCUAAUUUGUCAACAAAUGCAUUCUUUUCUCGAAAUGUAUGGGAGCAACAAUAAACCAUGUGUUGUAACAUAGAAAUAAAGUUUUUCCAAUGAGUUCGGAACAACCAAAAAGGAGAAAAAGAACUAGAAGCAAAGCAAUAUAUCACAUUAGAAUAGCCAUAAGCCAACCCUGCGCAUGAGCCAACUCCGUAGCAAGGAUGACAACAUAAAGCUCUGUACAGAAAGAAGUAUGAUGGCCCAAACUCAGGGAGAAACCACCAAGAAAAUAACCUGCAUAAUCUUGGAAAACCCCACCAUAUAUAAGCCGCAAGAUCUAGGUUACCUUUAGCAAUGUCAUCCUUAUUCACUUUGACCUAUGGAAAUGGAGGGGCAUGCCAAAGAACAUGAACUGUAAAAGAAGCUUUACAGGACUCAACCAAGAUUCUAAAAGAGACCAAAAAUUGCUUACCCAAUAUACAACGUACAUGACCAUGAGUUAAAACUCCAACUUACCUAAUCCAGGCAAAGUAGAACAACAUAAGCAUAAAAAAGAAGAAGGCCUACUUUCAAACUUUACUUUAUUAUGCAUCUUCCAAACAACCAUUAAUAAGUAAAAUCAUAAUGCUAGCCAAACAUUGUGAAGUUGUGGAGAAACCCGUUUUGACACAAAAGCAAGUCGAAAAUUCAAGAAGGAACCUGUAAGCAGAAAAAUAGUCCAAAUUGAGUAGCAAGCCAAAACUAAGUGUGGAACCAUGAUUUUCUAGAUUUGGAGUAAGAUAGAUCGGAAUACGAAUAUCUUAGAAAUUCGGUCAUGGACUUAACAGCUUCCAUCACGGAGCUGCAUAGAUGAACCAGUGAUUCCAUUGUCAUCUUGCUCGAAGCAGUGGGCGAAGUCUGUUGACUUCACUGAGAUUAACCAUGCUUGUUCAGCAAGAUACAGAAAUUUGUUCUAGUAUAGAAUCAACCAAGUUUCCUUAAAUCUGGAAGAUUCCUAAAAUCUAGGGAUUUGGUGUGCACCACAAGUAAUCAUACCACUAAGAGGAUUCAAUAUCUACUCAUAGAUAUCUUGUGGGAUUCUCAUGGUUUAAUACAAAUUCUAUAUCCUAAAAUAACUCUAUCUCAACUAGUAUAAAUACACCAUUCUGGGUUCAUCUCUGGUAACACAAUUAUCUUAUGUACUGCUUGAGUCUCAAAUAUUGCUUACUAACUUGACCGUUAGAGAGUCUUUGACUAGUACCCUACCGAUCCUUAGGUUGCUUACGGUUAUUUGUUAUUUUAUAGGUUGUCGAAUUUGUGCAUCCCGACCCUUCAAGGUAGUGCACAAAUUUAGUUUUAACACCAAGCAUGUUGUGCAAAUUCACAACUAAAAAAUUGGAAAUAAAGGAAUGUCCCCUACUUGAUGUUGAUUCUCUUUUGGUAGCUUAUUAAAAAGAAUCAACCAAACUAAAAUAAAGUAGCGAGCUAGAAUGAAAGGAUGCCAAAUAAUGGAAGACUAACUUUUAACAGGAAACCGAAGACGAACAGUUUCAUAGCCAUCAAAAAAUGAAAAAUCUCAAAAUGUGCAUCUCAGAUUAACACAUCCUUUUCCUCAUCAAUUAUAAGAGGCAUCUCUAAAAUCUCUUUACCUAACUCUGAAAAGUAGAAGAAGAAAAAUAGGAGGAAUAACCCAUUUUCCAUAUCAUAAUGUCUGAGACUUUUGUCUGAAAUAGAGAAUGAGCAAGCUUAGUAGCAACAACGGCCUCCAUAAUAGGCAUAACCAACCACUUAUCAAUCCAAAGAGAAAAGAGAAGUACUAGAACCAUACCAAUUGCCCAACGAUAAUUCUAAAACAAGAUAUGAACAAUAGAUUAAUACUAGGCCAUAUAGAAGAUUGUUUGUAACAAGAAAAGUAUAAAUAACCAUGUAGCUGAAAUUGCUCUAAAAAAUAAACACUAUAGAGAAUCUAAUGUUAAACCCCACCCCCGAAUUUAUAUGUAAUUUUAUAAUUUCCCAAAGUUUUAUUGAAAAUUUCAUUUUGGUCCCCUAGAUUGACUAAAUCUAGACCCUUUAUCUAGAUUCCUAAACCCCCUCAAACUGCCACGUGGCAGCACCCUAACAAACCUCAUCUCUCUCU
rnacentral:lncRNA from 1 species